rnacentral:rRNA from 1 species
GGCCUACGGGACGCAGCAGUGGGGAAUAUUGGGCAAUGGGCGCAAGCCUGACCCAGCAACGCCGCGUGAAGGAAGAAGGCUUUCGGGUUGUAAACUUCUUUUCUCAGGGACGAAGCAAGUGACGGUACCUGAGGAAUAAGCCACGGCUAACUACGUGCCAGCAGCCGCGGUAAUACGUAGGUGGCAAGCGUUAUCCGGAUUUACUGGGUGUAAGGGGGGGGAGGGGGGGAAAGAAAGUCAAAUUUGAAACCCACGGCUUAA